rnacentral:rRNA from 1 species
CAGUAGCCGCGGGAACACGAAGGGGGCUAGCGUUGUUCGGAAUUACUGGGCGUAAAGGGCGCGUAGGCGGCCAUUCAAGUUAGAUGUGAAAGCCCUGGGCUCAACCUAGGAAUUGCAUUUGAUACUGUUUGGCUUGAGUUCGGGAGAGGUGAGUGGAAUUCCCAGUGUAGAGGUGAAAUUCGUAGAUAUUGGGAAGAACACCAGUGGCGAAGGCGGCUCACUGGACCGACACUGACGCUGAGGCGCGAAAGCGUGGGGAGCAAACAGGAUUAGAUACCCGCGUAGUCCCUGUCUCUUAUAC